CGGGGUGGAGUAACACGUGGGUAACCUGCCUAAAAGAAAGGGGUAACACUUGGAAACAGGUGCUAAUACCGUAUAUCUCUAAGGAUCGCAUGAUCCUUGGAUGAAAGAUGGUUCUGCUAUCGCUUUUAGAUGGACCCGCGGCGUAUUAACUAGUUGGUGGGGUAACGGCCUACCAAGGUGAUGAUACGUAGCCGAACUGAGAGGUUGAUCGGCCACAUUGGGACUGAGACACGGCCCAA
rnacentral:rRNA from 1 species